AAUCAACGCUGGCGGCGUGCCUAACACAUGCAAGUCGAACGAGAAAGUGGAGCAAUCCAUGAGUACAGUGGCGAACGGGUGAGUAACACGUGACUAACCUACCUUCCAGUGGGGGAUAACCUCGGGAAACCGGGGCUAAGACCGCAUAACCUCGUGAGGUGAGAUUCCUUGCGAGCAAAGGGGUAAGACGCUGGAUGAGGGGGUCGCGGCCGAUUAGCUAGUUGGCGGGGUAACGGCCCACCGAGGCGAUGAUCGGUAGCCGGCCUGAGAGGGCGCACGGCCACUCUGGAAAUGAAACACGGUCCAGACUCCUACGGGAGGCAGCAGUGGGGAAUUUUGCACAAUGGGGGAAACCCUGAUGCAGCAACGCCGCGUGGAGGAUGAAGUCCCUUGGGACGUAAACUCCUUUCGACCGGGACGAUAAUGACGGUACCGGUGGAAGAAGCCCCGGCUAACUCCGUGCCAGCAGCCGCAGUAA
rnacentral:rRNA from 1 species